rnacentral:rRNA from 1 species
AUGCGGCUUCAUCUCUUCGUGGUGUGUGCUAGGGGUGGUGUUGCUGCGCUCAGCGCUUUUGUAUCCUGCCUUGGGUGUGUGUGGUGUUGGCGUGCGUUUGUAUUGGAUGAUGUGGAUCUUUGCUUUAUAUAUAAAGCGGGGCGAAAGCCUUUUUCGGCAAUGGUACAUCAAACCAGAAGUUGCUCUCCUCUUCUCCUCUCUUUCACAACAAUACAUACAAAAGCUUCCAGAUUAGAUAUGGCUUUCCACAUGAGAUCCAUAAGUUUGCCUUCUAGGCCUCAGGCCAAUGAGACCGAGGUUGAACAAGAACUGCUGAGCCUAGAGGCAAGUAUCUCUUCUUCCAUUACCAUCGGCACGAUGUGUGAUGGUCUGAGGAGGCUUGGAGACAUCUACAAUGGUGUUGAAGAGAUUAUUUGCCUACCAAGCAAUCAAGUUAGCUCCUCUCAGCGGAGGAAGAUGUUGGAUGGAGAGAUGGAAUGCUCUCUUGAGUGGUUGAACCUCUACAGUAACAUGCAAGAGAUCUUCAUCGAAAUGAAGGUCAUCAUCCAAGAGCUGCACAUGGCUCUGAGAAAAGGGGAUGAUGCAGCUGCUCAAGCCAAGAUCCAGUCUUACACCCGCUUGGCGAAGAAGGCCAAGAAUCAAUUCAAGAAGACCACGAAAAAGACUCCUGCAGAUUGCAAGAUGGUCAUGCUAUUGACCAAGGCCAGAGAGAUAUCUGUCUCUCUGCUGGAGUCCACACUACAUUUCUUGUCGAAGCAAAUUGAAAUGCCUAAACAAUCUCUUGUUUCCAAGGCAUUUCACAAAAAGAAGGCAGUUGUCUGCAAGGACGAGCAAUUGCAGGAGCUAGAGUGCAGUAUCGGAGAUCUUGAGAGUGGAGCAGGACAUCUGUUCAGGAAAUUACUCCAGAGCAGAGUUUCUCUACUCAACAUUCUUAGCUCAUAG